ACGGGGGGAGCAAGCGUUGUUCGGAUUUACUGGGCGUAAAGGGCGCGUAGGCGGUCAGCACAAGUCAGUUGUGAAAUCUCCGAGCUUAACUCGGAAAGGUCAACUGAUACUGUGCGACUAGAGUGCAGAAGGGGCAACUGGAAUUCUCGGUGUAGCGGUGAAAUGCGUAGAUAUCGUCAAGAACACCGAUAGCGAAGGCAGCUUACUAAGCUCUAACUGACACUGAUGCACGAAAGUGUGGGGAUCAAACAGGA
rnacentral:rRNA from 1 species